UUGCUGUCUUGUUAAAUAAAGACUCUUCAAUUUGUAGAGUAUUGAAAAGUUGAAAUGAAAAUCAAGAGGAUUGUCCCAAAGUGUUAAUUGAAUCUCCAAUAAUCAUACACGAAUGACUCUAGUUUCUUAAUUAUACGUCCAAUCAAAACCUAAUGCUGAAAUUACAGAAAUUACCCUUGAAUUAAAAAAAAAAAAAAAGAAAAUGAAAAAGAAAAAGAAAAGAAACCGAAGUGUUCGUCAAAAUAAUCACGAAAGAUGAAAUGGAGCUUAAGAUGGGCUUAAUAAAAAGAGUUUGGUACCUCUAGGAGUCGAAAGUUUUCAUUUCCUUCUAUUGUAACCAUGCUUCAUAUGGGAGAUUAGGAACAAAAUAAGGAGCACAACUAGAAGAGUUUGCUAUAAUUUCAAAAUAUUAGUACUAAGCUAAAUCACUCACAGGGCAACUCUCCUUUGGCAUGUCAUUGGAGCAAGUAUAUAGAAGCACCAUUGCAUGCCAAGUAAGAGAAGCCCUAAGAGUGGUUCUUGCUUCGAUUAGACCAUUUGAAUACAUAAGCAUCACAAUCCCAAUUCGUGGGUGAGAAACCAAGAUAUUUAUACAUA
rnacentral:lncRNA from 1 species